rnacentral:rRNA from 1 species
UGGGGAAUUUUGGACAAUGGGCGCAAGCCUGAUCCAGCCAUGCCGCGUGAGUGAAGAAGGCCUUCGGGUUGUAAAGCUCUUUCGGCCGGGACGAAAUCGCACCCUUUAAUACGGGGUGUGGAUGACGGUACCGGAAGAAGAAGGACCGGCUAACUACGUGCCAGCAGCCGCGGUAAUACGUAGGGUCCGAGCGUUAAUCGGAAUUACUGGGCGUAAAGCGUGCGCAGGCGGUUUUGUAAGCCAGAUGUGAAAGCCCCGGGCUCAACCUGGGAACUGCAUUUGGGACUGCAAGGCUGGAGUACGGCAGAGGGAGGUGGAAUUCCACGUGUAGCAGUGAAAUGCGUAGAGAUGUGGAGGAACACCGAUGGCGAAGGCAGCCUCCUGGGCUAGUACUGACGCUCAGGCACGAAAGCGUGGGGAGCAAACAG